rnacentral:rRNA from 1 species
UACGUAGGGGGCUAGCGUUGUCCGGAAUUACUGGGCGUAAAGCGCGUGUAGGCGGUUAUCCCAGUCGGGUGUGAAAGCCUUGAGCUCAACUCAAGAAAUGCAUUCGGUACUGGGUGACUAGAGGACCGGAGAGGAUAGUGGAAUUCCCAGUGUAGUGGUGAAAUACGUAGAGAUUGGGAAGAACACCAGUGGCGAAGGCGGCUAUCUGGACGGUUUCUGACGCUAAGACGCGAAAGCGUGGGGAGCAAACAGG